AACGUAGGACACGAGCGUUAUCCGGAGUUACUGGGCGUAAAGGGCGAGUAGGUGGUGCGAUAAGACUGGUGUGAAAGCCUUCGGCUUAACCGAGGGAGGACACUGGUGACUGUCGGACUUGAGGCAGAUAGAGGGGUGUAGAAUUCCGGGUGUAGUGGUGAAAUGCGUAGAGAUCCGGAGGAAUACCAGAGGCGAAGGCGGCACCCUGGGUCUGACCUGACACUGAUCCGCGACAGCAUGGGGAGCGAACGGG
rnacentral:rRNA from 1 species